rnacentral:lncRNA from 10 species
AAAAAACUGAGAAUACUAUAGCUGAUUAACUUACUGUUUAGUUCUCUUAAAAAUAUCUACCUUCUUAUCAUUAUAAUUCUGGAAUGAAAAUCAGGAGGACUGCCUAGUACUGCCAAUUCUGACAGUGAUCUGUGAUUAUCCAGGGACUACAGAUGGGGUCAGCAGCAUGCCCAGUCACCUGCAUUGCCUAAUGAAUGGCUGACUGCCUCAGCAUCCCCUGGGCAGAGGCUGGAGUGCAGUGGUGCACACGCCUCACACUGUGACACAGCGGGAGAGCCCAGAGCGACAGCUGUUGGAAUGACUGCACUCUUCCUGCUCAAGUCUGACCUUUCCAAGGGUCUCACUCUGUCACCCAGGUUGGAGUAAAGUGGUAUGAUCAUGGCUCACUGCAGCCUCGAACUCCUGGGCUCAAGCAAUCCUCCUGCCUCAGCCUCCUGAGUAGCUGGGACUACAGCCUUUGUCCUAUGUCUGGAGACUUCUUGGAAGCUGGAGCACACAAAUAGCUACAGCAAACUUGAGGAAUGGGCAUGAAUAGACUGGCUUCGGGGAACCUGCCAGCUUGGCCGUGUGGCCAAGGUAAUAGGCAAGCCAAGGCAGAGCUAGAGCUCAGAGCUGGAGGGGAAAUUAAAGCAGCAAAUGUAGAAACAUUAAGCCUGAAGAGGCGACGACGUUGAAUUCUAAAAUGCAGGCCAAAGCUCAGACUGCAAGCUGUCUGGCUGCUCCGGGUGUGCCCAGAAGUCAAAGUCCAGCAGGGGCAAAGGUGGAGGUGUGGUCCUGCACGUGGGGUGUUGGGGGGAUGUGGAAGAGGAGGUGCUUUAAGAUCCAGAGAUUCCAGCUGCCCUGGUGCACCCUUGGAAGAAUAAAAGGCUAGGAACUGGACAAGUCAGGCUCGAGUCCAAGCUGCCUGAGGAAUCGGGGAAAGAAUGGAGCUCAGAGUGGGAGGUCAGGGCAGUAUUUAAAAAUCCAGGAUAGCAGCAAAGCUGGCGGUGGCCCCUGACUCUGGUAAGGGCAGCCUGCAGCACCAUGCCAAGGGGGGCCUGACUGAUCAUGCCCUGCAUUUGCAAACAAGGAUUAGUAGGGUAUGAGUAGGAUUCUGCUGGUGCCUGGGAAGGCAGUGCCAUCUACAACUUUACAAAGUUUUAACAAAGGCCUGAAGGACACAACCUUCCCCAAAGUCCUGACGUCGCUGUUUGCUGGCAACAAAUAGAGUCAAAAGAAGAGAGGCACAGAAUGUGCCAGGGGUGUGCUGCGUACAGCCCCGAUGACCACAAGGCCUUCUUGGGUCAAGUUCUGCCAUCUCUGGUUAAGAUGGGCUCACCCUCUAGGACCCUGAUUGAGUCCUCGGACCACCAAGAGUGCCCCACCAAGAGCCUCCCUCUUCUGGUGACUCGUGCCUGCUUCCCGUGGAGAGCUCCAGAAGGGAGGAAACUGUGAGGAGGUGGAGAACGUGGCAGGGAUCCUAACUUUCUUACUGAAGGAAGUUCUUCACAAGUACCCAUCUGCCUUCAGGGAAGAAAACAUAACUCAUUUUGGUCUUUCAAAUUCAGUUCUCAAAACCAAAUCCUGUUGUCAGCAAUCUGUGUCCCAACGCCUUCUUCAGCAACAGCAUUUUCCCUGUGGAAUUAGUUUCCAAUGUUCUUUCUUAAAUAAACCACUGAAGAUUAAAAGGAAUCCAGAUACCCACCAC